AAUGAACGCUGGCGGCGCGCCUAAUACAUGCAAGUCGAGCGAGAAGACAUAGCAAUACGUUUGUAAAGCGGCGAACGGGUGAGGAAUACAUGGGUAACCUACCCUCGAGUGGGGAAUAACUAGCCGAAAGGUUAGCUAAUACCGCGUACGCUUCUUGGACUUCGGUUCAGGGAGGAAAGCGAUACCGUGGGUAUCGCGCUCUUGGAUGGGCUCAUGUCCUAUCAGCUUGUUGGGAGGUAACGGCUCACCAAGGCUUUGACGGGUAGCUGGUCUGAGAGGACGAUCAGCCACACUGGCACUGCGACACGGGCCAGACUCCUACGGGAGGCAGCAGUAAGGAAUAUUGCGCAAUGGGACGAAAGCCUGACGCAGUGACGCCGC
rnacentral:rRNA from 1 species